GUUUUCGUGGCCUAGUGGUUAGGGCGUCUGUCUUACAUCUGAGUAUCAGGAAAUCAUUCCUUCUUACCUGUUGAUCACAGAAGAUCCCCGGUUCAAUCCCGGGCGGAAACA